CAAGCGGAUCUCUUAAAGCCGUUCUCAGUUCGGACUGUAGGCUGCAACUCGCCUACACGAAGCUGGAAUCGCUAGUAAUCGCGGAUCAGCACGCCGCGGUGAAUACGUUCCCGGGCCUUGUACACACCGCCCGUCACACCAUGAGAGUUGGAAAUACCCGAAGCCUGUGAGCUAACUUAAAGAGGCAGCAGUCGAAGGUAGAGCCAAUGAUUGGGGUGAAGUCGUAACAAGGUACC
rnacentral:rRNA from 1 species